rnacentral:rRNA from 1 species
GACGAACGCUGGCGGCGUGCUUAACACAUGCAAGUCGAACGGUGAUCUUGGGAGCUUGCUCCUGGGUGAUCAGUGGCGAACGGGUGAGUAACACGUGAGUAACCUGCCCCUGACUCUGGAAUAACUUCGGGAAACCGAAGCUAAUACCGGAUAUGACACAGAGCCGAAUGGUUUCUGCGUGGAAUGUUUUUUCGUUUGGGGAGGGACUCGCGGCCUAUCAGCUUGUUGGUGAGGUAAUGGCUCACCAAGGCGACGACGGGUAGCCGGCAUGAGAGGGCGACCGGCCACACUGGGACUGAGACACGGCCCAGACUCCUACGGGAGGCAGCAGUGGAGAAUAUUGCACAAUGGGCGAAAGCCUGAUGCAGCGACGCCGCGUGAGGGAUGAAGGCCUUCGGGUUGUAAACCUCUUUCAGUAGGGAAGAAGCGCAAGUGACGGUACCUACAGAAGAAGCACCGGCUAACUACGUGCCAGCCGCCGCAGUAACAC